GACGAACGCUGGCGGCGUGCUUAACACAUGCAAGUCGAGCGGUAAGGCCCUUUCGGGGGUACGACGAGCGGCGAACGGGUGAGUAACACGUGGGUGACCUGCCCUCAGCUCUGGGAUAAGCCUGGGAAACCGGGUCUAAUACCGGAUAUGACUCCAUGACGCAUGUUGUGGGGUGGAAAGCCUUGUGCGGCUGAGGAUGGGCCCGCGGCCUAUCAGCUUGUUGGUGGGGUGAUGGCCUACCAAGGCGACGACGGGUAGCCGGCCUGAGAGGGCGACCGGCCACACUGGGACUGAGACACGGCCCAGACUCCUACGGGAGGCAGCAGGUGGGGAAUCUUGCGCAAUGGGCGAAAGCCUGACGCAGCGACGCCGCGUGAGGGAUGACGGCCU
rnacentral:rRNA from 1 species